AUGGACGGUUAUGAUAAAUUCUUAGAUUAUAGUUUUAUUUCGUGAAUAAACAUUUAAAAAUUGGUUUUAAUUAGUGGAGGAUAGAUGUGUAUUUUUACCACCACGUAAUUACCCCCCAAAUACCCAAAUCCCGUCAAUCUCGGCACUCAAUUAUUUUUAAGAAAGUUAUGGAAGAAUAUACACAUAUUUACCACACACACCAGCACACACAUUUACACACACACACACACACAGGGCACUGCCGCCCUUUUGCCCAGGCGAAGAUGGCAGCCGCCAGCCACCUCGGCUCACCGCCUUCACCACAAGCACCUUCAUAUCCCUCGUCUCUCUGCCAUGUAUCUAUUAUUUCUUUUGGUUUUUUCGUUGUUGUUGCUCAGCGAUUUCGAAUUAGGGUUCUUUCUCGAAGACAUCGGUUCUGCUGAAAUCGAACAGUUUGCACAUCGAAGAGGAUGUUGAAGAAAGUAGGAGUCUUCGCCAAUCAAUGAUCCCAUACCGAAUACUUGCAUUACAAUAUGCGGUGUUUCUGAGCUCGAUGCUUGUGCUGAUGUCUGUGCUCGAAUUGUGUUAGGUUAAUAUGAAAUAUUGAAUUUGUAUAAUGUUUAUUUUUUAUUCAGAAAAUUUGUAUUUUUAUUCGACAUCUUAUAGUGACAUAUUCAUUAUACUGUAUUCGUUGUAUUAGUUAAUUUAUUCAGUUUCUUGUUUUACUUA